GAUGAAGAACGUAGCGAAAUGCGAUAAGUAGUGUGAAUUGCAGAAUUCAGUGAAUCAUCGAAUCUUUGAACGCACAUUGCGCCCCAUGGUAUUCCGUGGGGCAUGCCUGUUCGAGCGUCAUUUACCCCCUCAAGCUCCGCUUGGUGUUGGGCGUCUGUCCCGCUUCGCGCGCGGACUCGCCCCAAAGGUAUUGGCAGCGGUCGUGCCAGCUUCUCGCGCAGCACAUUGCGCUUCUCGAGACACCGGUGGGCCCGCGUCCAUCAAGCUCACCCCCCCAGUUUGACCUCGGAUCAGGUAGGGAUACCCGCUGAACUUAAGCAUAUCAAUAAGCGGAGGA
rnacentral:misc_RNA from 1 species